UCCUUGGAACUCUAGUUCAAUCGACACCUCCUCCCUUCUCGGCGACGACACCACCAGCCGCUGCUCGCCGUCACCUCCGAGAAAGCCCCCGCCUCUGUUCCUUUCCAUCUCAUCCCUAUCUUCCCUUUUUAAGUUAGACGAAUUUCAAGUGGGGAAGGCACAAUUUUGAGCAGAACAAGGCUCGACGUCGCCUUGCCCGUCGGCCACCACCGCCCCGGCCAAUACUCUCUCGAUCAAUCGCUGUCGUCUCCGAGUUUUACCGCGGUCGGAACCCGCCAUCUCUCCUUUCAAUCCGGACUCGUAAAUAAGGCUCGAUUCCACCCCGUGAGGCCUCUGCCUCAGCCCCACUCAGCGAGGCUCGGUGCGCCGCCUCCGUCGCUCCGUACACCAACGCCCGCCGUCCCUUCGCCGUCGACACAACGGCUGUCUUGCGGCAGUCGUCGGGGCUCCGUCGUCCGUCGGCCUCGUGCAAGCUAAGUCCCCUUUCUCUUUUUUUUUGUUCUUAAAUUUCAUUUUAUUGAAGUGUUGUAUGUGAUUUAGUAGCAUUAUGGUUUUGAUCUAGGUAGGAUCUCUGGUUGGCGAAUUUUCAGUUCGUUCCUAUUCGUUGGUAUAGUCUACAGAUUAAUUGAGGUGUUGCCUGGUAGAUAGAGCAAAAGUGGCGACAGUAUCCUAUGGUUCCUUCGUUUCACUUGUAUGAUAGGCUUCUAAUUUCCUAUGUUAUGCAUGACUAAACGAGGCAGGAGUGUGUGGAAGUUUUACUAUCCCUUCCUAUUCUAUCAUACUGUUCCGAUAUGGAGUAGUGUCGUUCUAACAUGCUUUAAAUUCCUACAUGAUGAUAUGGCGUUCAAAAUGAACCUGAAACGGAGUGAAGUUACCUUCACUUCACAAUGUUUUGCCUCUCCUUACUUCUAGCUUUGAUUCCCCUCACUCUCCAACUUGCUACCUAGUUGAGUGAAUAUGUUGUGGUGGUAGAGAGUAGAACCGAUGGGCAUGGAGUAUUUAUAUAGGGUGGUUGUAACUGAAAACUGCAAGGUUGCUAUUAGUGUAGGGAAAAGGGUCCUUUGGCUGAUUUUUCUGCACCAAGGCAGGAGCGUACUCGUGUAUUAAAUGUGUUUGUACAGCCUCAUUUGUUGUCUUUUUGCAGGGUAGCUCAGCUCAUUUAUGAAAUUCGUUUUUCUUGUGGCAGGUGCACUAGAAUGGCAGGGAUUUGUAGUUGAUAUUCUCGGCUGUGGCAGAUGUAAAAUGAGGGUACGAGCUGCCAAAUGCAGCCUUGCAGGGUAUCUGCAGCUGCUGGAGUGGAAAUGCCGGCUGGACACGGGCUGGGAUGCAAGUUGCUGCACUACUGCGGCUGCCCCAUAUGGGUGACUCCCUCCUACUCUCUCUGAAAAGGUCCUGCUGUCCAUUUCCAUUUGUUUCCUUCUGUUAUGCAGCAGGUUUUGGAGUCAAUAGCCUACCUCGUGGUUUAAAAAAAUAUCUCAGUCCAAGGUCGUUUCGGACUCGGCGUAAUGCGUGACUUGGCUCGAAGGAUAGGCACAUGCUUAUUUCUUUUAAACACUUGUACAUCCAUAUUUGUAACUUAGACACCUUGAUGUAUGCAAUAUACUUAGCUAGACUAUGUUCUUAGUUCUCAUUUCUUGUAUGAUUUCAUAAUGUUUAAUUUGGGAAGCGAUAAAGAGAGCACAAAUUCUUUUUA